GGGGAAUAUUGCACAAUGGGGGAAACCCUGAUGCAGCGACGCCGCGUGGAGGAAGAAGGUCUUCGGAUUGUAAACUCCUGUUGUUGGGGAAGAUAAUGACGGUACCCAACAAGGAAGUGACGGCUAACUACGUGCCAGCAGCCGCGGUAAAACGUAGGUCACAAGCGUUGUCCGGAAUUACUGGGUGUAAAGGGAGCGCAGGCGGGAAGACAAGUUGGAAGUGAAAUCUAUGGGCUCAACCCAUAAACUGCUUUCAAAACUGUUUUUCUUGAGUAGUGCAGAGGUAGGCGGAAUUCCCGGUGUAGCGGUGGAAUGCGUAGAUAUCGGGAGGAACACCAGUGGCGAAGGCGGCCUACUGGGCACCAACUGACGCUGAGGCUCGAAAGUGUGGGUAGCAAACAGGAUUAGAUACCCUGGUAGUCCACACCGUAAACGAUGAUUACUAGGUGUUGGAGGAUUGACCCCUUCAGUGCCGCAGUUAACACAAUAAGUAAUCCACCUGGGGAGUACGACCGCAAGGUUGAAACUCAAAGGAAUUGACGGGGGCCCGCACAAGCAGUGGAGUAUGUGGUUUAAUUCGACGCAACGCGAAGAACCUUACCAAGUCUUGACAUCCCUUGACAGGCAUAGAAAUAUGUAAUCUCUUCGGAGCAAGGAGACAGGUGGUGCAUGGUUGUCGUCAGCUCGUGUCGUGAGAUGUUGGGUUAAGUCCCGCAACGAGCGCAACCCUUAUGGUCAGUUACUACGCAAGAGGACUCUGGCCAGACUGCCGUUGACAAAACGGAGGAAGGUGGGGAUGACGUCAAAUCAUCAUGCCCUUUAUGACUUGGGCUACACACGUACUACAAUGGCGUAAACAAAGAGAAGCGAACUCGCGAGGGUAAGCAAAUCUCAAAAAUAACGUCUCAGUUCGGAUUGUAGUCUGCAACUCGACUACAUGAAGCUGGAAUCGCUAGUAAUCGCGAAUCAGAAUGUCGCGGUGAAUACGUUCCCG
rnacentral:rRNA from 1 species